rnacentral:rRNA from 1 species
CUACGGGGGGUCCAAGCGUUAUCCGGAAUCAUUGGGUUUAAAGGGUGCGCAGGCGGUUUAUUAAGUCAGUGGUGAAAUCUCGGGGCUCAACCUCGAAUCUGCCAUUGAUACUGAUAAACUUGAGUUCAGUUGGAGUAGGCGGAAUGUGUAGUGUAGCGGUGAAAUGCUUAGAUAUUACACAGAACACCGAUAGCGAAGGCAGCUUACUAAACUGAUACUGACGCUGAGGCACGAAAGCGUGGGGAGCGAACAGGAUUAGAAACCCUAGUAGUCC